ensembl:misc_RNA Metazoa_SRP Metazoan signal recognition particle RNA
GCUGGGUGUGGUGGUGUGCACCUGUAAUCCCAGCUACUCAGGAGGCUGAGGCAGGAGAAUCGCUUGAACCUGGGAGGUGGAGGUUGCAGUGAGCCGAGAUCAUGCCACUGAACUCCAGCCUGGGCAACAGAGUGAGACUCUGUCUCAA